rnacentral:rRNA from 1 species
UACGUAGGGUGCAAGCGUUGUCCGGAAUUAUUGGGCGUAAAGAGCUCGUAGGCGGUUUGUCGCGUCUGCUGUGAAAACGCGAGGCUCAACCUCGCGCCUGCAGUGGGUACGGGCAAACUAGAGUGCGGUAGGGGAGAUUGGAAUUCCUGGUGUAGCGGUGGAAUGCGCAGAUAUCAGGAGGAACACCGAUGGCGAAGGCAGAUCUCUGGGCCGUAACUGACGCUGAGGAG